UACGUAGGGUGCGAGCGUUAAUCGGAAUUACUGGGCGUAAAGCGUGCGCAGGCGGUGAUGUAAGCCGAUGUGAAAUCCCCGGGCUUAACCUGGGAACUGCAUUGGUGACUGCAUUGCUGGAGUAUGGCAGAGGGGGGUGGAAUUCCACGUGUAGCAGUGAAAUGCGUAGAGAUGUGGAGGAACACCGAUGGCGAAGGCAGCCCCCUGGGCCAAUACUGACGCUCAUGCACGAAAGCGUGGGGGAGCAAACAGG
rnacentral:rRNA from 1 species